rnacentral:rRNA from 1 species
UACGUAGGUGGCAAGCGUUGUCCGGAUUUACUGGGCGUAAAGCGUGUGUAGGCGGACCUUUAAGUAGAAAGUGAAAGGUUGGUGCUCAACACCAACAUUGCUCUCUAUACUGGAGGUCUUGAGUGUCGGAGAGGAAGAUGGAACUGCACGUGUAGCGGUGAAAUGCGUUGAGAUGUGCAGGAACACCAAUGGCGAAGGCAAUCCCCUGGGCCUGUACUGACGCUCAUGCACGAAAGCGUGGGGAGCAAACAGG